AAACCAUGAUUCGGACUCUUAUACAAAUAUUCCUUGAAUUUCUCCCAGGCUUCAUAUAGUUAUUCCCCUGAACGCUACUUUAAUUCAUAGAUCUUGUCAUGAAUUU